rnacentral:lncRNA from 1 species
AGCUGGAGCCGAGUUGCCACUCGCACUGGGAGGUUACACGUGCUGCAGGGGGAGACCGGCAGAGCCGAGCCGCCGACUCCCCUGCCUCUGCAGGCUCGGCCCAGCCGGUGUUCACUCGGGCUUAGCUGUGCGGUGGAGGGGAAGAGAGCAGCGCAUUGUGGGGCCUCCGGUUACGUCAUCCAGGACCACUUCAGCGCUCUUUGCACCCUUUGUGUUUUCAACGGCCUGGCUCUGCCUCUCCAGCCCCAUUGAAAUGUUGUUAACUGGAGCAGGGAGAGGGCUGGCGACUGCAGAUCUGCCCAGGUAACCCGAGCUUUUAAUUGUCAAGAGCGCACAAAAAUACAAACAGUCUUCCAGGGCUGUUUAACUGAUUCCACGCCUUUUGUCAUCAUGCCUAAAAGGGAACAUUUACUAAUACACUCCUCUUGCAGUUUCAGGAAUAUGGGAUCAGGACAGAAAUCCAGACCUGUUCUUUUGUACCAAAUACCACAAAAUCAGAAAUGGAUUCCUGAGCAGGUACAUCACAGGAAUCUGGGAGGCAGGUUUCCCAUUGUGUCAAAUGAAGUCCCAGAUUCAAGCCCUAACUAUCCACCUAUCAAGUCGCUGCUUCUCUCCUAUUUCAAGCCCUCACUGCCUCAGUUCCUCUCCUUCAAGAAACUGAGCUAUAGAAAUGAGUCUGUUGGGUUUUCCAGAGCAACUGAGCAGAUAAUCUGAUUAACGUGAUCUUUUAGCUUACUCAAAAGAUGAUGAUUUCAAGAUAAAUUGUGUAUUCUCACAGUUGUAUAUGUUCAUUGAAAUCACCAUAUGUUUAGAAGCUAAAACAAUAUUGGAAAGAAUAAUUUAGACAAUUAUUGCUUAACGUGCAUUAAGCAUGGAAUGGAUGAAGUGAUUACAAAACUGAGAACAGAGCUGAACGCAGGGAUGUCCCGACUCAUUUUCCUAACCAGACAAGAAUCCUAAAUCAGCUCAUUACUGGUUCAGGUGGACCAAACUGAAACCUCUUCAUGUGCAGAUUCUUCACAGAGACGUGGAGACACUCCAGCACUCAGGACUUGGAUUAGAAAAUGUACAUAUGAGAUAUGGUACUGAACUACAAGAAAGUAGCAUGUAAACUGUUAAAUUCACUGCCGCAGUUCAGAAUGACAAUUGCUUUUCAUAGUUGCACAUAUGUAUUUUGUGUUUAAUUCACUCUCUGGCCAUUAAAAUAGAGUACUCUGCUGUAAUUUGCAUAAAAUCGGCUAACUUGGUACCCAAGUCAUGUAAGCACUACUAAUCAUUGCUCCUGCAAAAAGGGCGAUUCUCUGACCUGGGAGGACCUAUGCCGAUCAGGCUAAUACAGUAAUUAACCUUCUAAUAAAUAAAAUACUUGAAAGGAAUUUAAAUGUCCUCAUCUGUUCGAUAUUCUAGGUAACGUGGUGGUUGGAGAUUAGAGUAACUGUUUUACAGCUUUUGGUUCCUUUUGGGGGGGAAUUUGCAUUUUCUACCUGUGGUCAUGUGGGCUUUCUCUGGGUGCUCUGGUUUACAGUAAUUAGGUUUAUUGGCAUCUUUAAAUUGUUCCCCAUAUGGCAUCUCAACCAUUCUGUAUCCUGUCCUGUAAGUAUUUUCUGUUGGAG